rnacentral:rRNA from 1 species
AUACGUAGGUGACAAGCGUUAUCCGGAUUUACUGGGUGUAAAGGGCGUGUAGGCGGUUUAGCAAGUCAGAAGUGAAAUUCCCGGGCUUAACUUGGGCGCUGCUUCUGAAACUGCUUUACUUGAGUGCUGGAGAGGAUAGUGGAAUUCCUAGUGUAGCGGUAAAAUGCGCAGAUAUUAGGAGGAACACCGGUGGCGAAGGCGGCUAUCUGGACAGUAACUGACGCUGAGGCGCGAAAGCACGGGGAGCAAACAGGAUUAGAUACCCUGGUAGUCCGUGCCGUAAACGAUGAAUACUAGGUGUAGGGGGUAUCGACUCCCUCUGUGCCGCAGUUAACACAUUAAGUAUUCCACCUGGGGAGUACGGCCGCAAGGUUGAAACUCAAAGGAAUUGACGGG